rnacentral:rRNA from 1 species
CGCCUUUUGAUAUAUAUUUAUAAAAGGUCCUGCCUGCCCAGUGACUCUGUUCAACGGCCGCGGUAUCAUGACCGUGCAAAGGUAGCGUAAUCACUUGUCUUUUAAAUAAAGACUAGUAUGAACGGCAACACGAGGGUCCAACUGUCUCACUAAAUUAGUCAGUGAAAUUAAUCUUUCCGUGCAGAAGCGGAACUGAUUUUAUAAGACGAGAAGACCCUGUGGAGCUUUAAAUCUAAAUUUUAGGUUGGGGCGACCAUGAGGCAAAACAAACCCUCAAGACAAUAAUUAGAGAGACAUCUCAAACAUUGACCCAAUAAUUGAUCAACGAACCAAGUUACCCCAGGGAUAACAGCGCAAUCCACUCACAGAGCCCAUAUCGACGAGCGGGUUUACGACCUCGAUGUUGGAUCAGGACCACCUAGUGGUGCAACAACUACUAAAGGUUCGUUUGUUCAACGAUUAAAGUCCU